CGCGACUUGGAAACGCAAGUCACAGCUCCAUCUGAAACCCCAGCAUCAGUAGCAAAUGGUGUUAAAAUCCCUACGCACAAGUUUUCUUCAAAUCAGGUGGAAGCUAAGGACGCCGAGAAGGGUACUGGAAGUCAUGAGAGAAAUCUCAAGGCAACGCGUAAAAAGCGUCGUAUCAAUGUCUUCCCAAAAUAAUCCGCCGUUGAAAUAGAACCUGAAGGGCAAAGCAUGCAAGCAGAAUUGCCUUCUUCAGACAUACGUAAAGCAACGACGUGGAUGGUAUGAUGGAGAACAAUUCUAUCUUAUUAACAAAAGAAGUUUUUUCAUACUAUAUCGGACAAAGGGAGUAUCAGAAACCCACAAGCAUCAGUCCAGUCCAACGUGAUUUUUGGCAAACAAAAAAAAAAGGGAGGCAGUGGUGCAACGACUCUGUACUCGCUUACAUUCCUUCCUUGCACUUAUGCAUGUGAUCCAAGGUAAUAAGUGCUUAUCUCAAUGGAAAGGAUCUGUCAUGGAUUUUUUUGUUGGUGCAAUCCUUUUGCAGAAUGUAUUUGAUACUAUCUCGAGAUUUGCCUGGAUGUCACUGGCUGUUAAAUUUCCUUUGAAAGAAAUUGAUACAGAAACAGGCUGAUCUCUCAUGGUGUAGAGCCAAAAAUGAAAAUAAAUGAUGGAAUGAAGGGAGAUACAAUGGUAAAUGAUAAUAUUGAAACAUUGAAAAAAUGAAAUUCCUUGGUGUUGACUGGGAUUAAGGGAGGAAGCAUAUUUAAAUGACUAAAUAGAAGAGAACUAAGGCGAAUAAGGACUCAGCAGACUGGGAGCAAUGAGAUGCACAAAUGCAAAUGAAAUUUUAGAAGUCAUUUAAGAAAAAAAAAAGUAGUCCGGUGCAUAAAGCUCUCAUCAUAUGGGGUCCCGGGGAAGGAUUCAUUGUACGUAACUUUAUCCUAUUUUUUACAAGAGACUAUUUUCAUGAUUUGAACCCGUGAUCUUUUGGUCAUAUUGCAACAAUUUUAUCGUUGCGCCAAGCUUUCCCUUCAAUAUUGAUGGAAAUACUUUUCCAUGAGCAUAAAGAAAAGGUUCAAAUGACUCAUUAAUUUACGCUAUUGAAGAAAAUCACUAUGAGAUUAUCGGUCUCCGAUGUAAAAUAAGGAUAAUCAUUUUGACAUUAUUGCUAUUAAUUAUAAGCUUAAAAUUGAAGACUUCUUGAUAACUUAAUCAUACUUUGCAAUGCCAUUACAAUUUGACAUUGAAGACAAUUUCCAUGAAGGUCUAUAUGAACAUUAUCUGUGAAUUUUUUGAAGUUAAUUUCAUUUGAGAAAUUCACACAUAAUAUUCAUAUAGAUCUUCAUGGAAAUUGUCUUCAAUGUCAAUUUAUAAUGAUCUUGUAAUGUGAGAUUCAAUUACUAAGAAGUUUUAAAUUUUAAGCUCGUAGUUAAUUGUAAUAAUUUCAAAAUUAUCAUUCUUAUUUUAUAUUCGGGGUAAAGUGAUAAUUUUGUAGUGAUUUUUUCUUCAAUAGUGGAAAUUACUGAGCUAUUUGAAUUUUUUCAUGCUUAUAUGCUUGUGGAAGAAUAUUUCCUUCACUCGUCAAUGUAAUAAUUACAAAAAGUAAUUAUGCUUGUUGUAUGUUUCCACAAUUAUUUGUCGGUAAUUUGAGGAACAAUAAUAAAUAGUAAUUGUGUGUGAAGAGAUGAAGUUAUACUUUGUAAAGAAAUUUUCAUGUGUUUAAUAUGUGAUGAACAAUUGAUGAGAAAACUUACUAAGUGUUCAUAAUAAUAUUUCUUAGUUUAGAAGGUUUGUAAACCAA